rnacentral:lncRNA from 1 species
AGAAAAUGCAGCGUUCACUUCAAAGAAUAACAGCACACAAUAUGUCAUAUCUUUAGCCAGAUUUAAUUUCAAACACUGGAUGUCAGUGAUUCAAAUCCUGAAGAUUAACAUUUAUCAUGUUGAGAUUUGGGCAGCACCUCAUCAAGCCCUCGGUGGUAUUCCUGAGGACGGAGCUCUCCUUUGCCCUUGUGAACCGGAAGCCAGUGGUCCCAGGGCGUAUCCUUUCAACCAGAGCCUCAGUCAGGAGUGCGUAUGGGCCGCUCAGCGUUCUGUGGAAAAGAGGGAGGCACUCUUUGCGUUCUGAAGGCCAGGUAGGAUGUUAAUCAGAUUUAUUCUGAAACCAGUCAGUGGAACGUAAUACGCUUGAUCGAUGUUGCAGAACUUCUGAAAACGGUUGCUUAGCGACGGUGACCUUAGAGGUGAAUUUCUAUUGACCUUUUCACCACAGAAGAUGUAUAAACAACCAGGUGCUACUAAAAGCGUUUUUAAGUGCAUCUGAG